rnacentral:rRNA from 1 species
AUAGAUCAUUUUACCUGGAACGGUUUAUGGUCCAAAUGAUUCGUCGCCGUAGGAUGGGACUGCGGCCUAUCAGCUUGUUGGUGAGGUAAUGGCCCACCAAGGCUAUUACAGGUACGGGCUCUGAGAGGAGAAGCCCGGAGAUGGGUACUGAGACACGGACCCAGGCCCUAUGGGGCGCAGCAGGCGAGAAAACUUUGCAAUGUGCGCAAGCACGACAAGGUUAAUCCGAGUGUUUCCUGCUAAAGGAAUCUUUUGCUAGUCCUAAAAACACUAGCGAAUAAGGGGUGGGCAAGUUCUGGUGUCAGCCGCCGCGGUAAAACCAGCACCUCAAGUGGUCAGGAGGAUUAUUGGGCCUAAAGCAUCCGUAGCCUGCUCUGUAAGUUUCCGGUUAAAUCCAUUAGCUUAACUGAUGGGCCGCCGGAAAAACUGCAAAGCUAGGGAGUGGGAGAGGUAGACGGUACUCGGUAGGAAGGGGUAAAAUCCUUUGAUCUAUUGAUGACCACCAGUGGCGAAGGCGGUCUACCAGAACACGUUCGACGGUGAGGGAUGAAAGCUGGGGGAGCAAACCGGAUUAGAUACCCGGGUAGUCCCAGCUGUAAACGAUGCAGACUCGGUGAUGCCCUGGCUUGUGGCCAGUGCAGUGCCGCAGGGAAGCCGUUAAGUUUGCCGCCUGGGAAGUACGUACGCAAGUAUGAAAC